GGUUAAGCGACUAAGCGUACACGGUGGAUGCCCUGGCAGUCAGAGGCGAUGAAGGGCGUGCUAAUCUGCGAUAAGCGCCGGUAAGGUGAUAUGAACCGUUAUAACCGGCGAUACCCGAAUGGGGAAACCCAGUGUGAUUCGUCACACUAUCAUUAACUGAAUCCAUAGGUUAAUGAGGCGAACCGGGGGAACUGAAACAUCUAAGUACCCCGAGGAAAAGAAAUCAACCGAGAUUCCCCCAGUAGCGGCGAGCGAACGGGGAGGAGCCCAGAGCCUGAAUCAGCAUGUGUGUUAGUGGAAGCGUCUGGAAAGGCGCGCGAUACAGGGUGACAGCCCCGUACACAAAAGCGCAUGUGCUGUGAGCUCGAUGAGUAGGGCGGGACACGUGGUAUCCUGUCUGAAUAUGGGGGGACCAUCCUCCAAGGCUAAAUACUCCUGACUGACCGAUAGUGAACCAGUACCGUGAGGGAAAGGCGAAAAGAACCCCGGCGAGGGGAGUGAAAAAGAACCUGAAACCGUGUAC
rnacentral:rRNA from 1 species